AAUGAAGUGCCUGAUAAAAGGAUUAUUUUGAUAGAAUAAAUCAUGUAAGAUUAAAUUACCUUCAUUA
rnacentral:tRNA from 1 species